CAGCAGCCGCGGUAAUACAGAGGGUGCAAGCGUUAAUCGGAAUUACUGGGCGUAAAGCGCGCGUAGGUGGUUUGUUAAGUUGGAUGUGAAAGCCCCGGGCUCAACCUGGGAACUGCAUCCAAAACUGGCAAGCUAGAGUACGGUAGAGGGUGGUGGAAUUUCCUGUGUAGCGGUGAAAUGCGUAGAUAUAGGAAGGAACACCAGUGGCGAAGGCGACCACCUGGACUGAUACUGACACUGAGGUGCGAAAGUGUGGGGAGCAAACAGGAUUAGAUACCCCUGUAGUCCCUGUCUCUUAUAC
rnacentral:rRNA from 1 species